AGUGAACGCUGGCGGUAGGCCUAACACAUGCAAGUCGAACGGCAGCACAGUAAGAGCUUGCUCUUACGGGUGGCGAGUGGCGGACGGGUGAGGAAUACAUCGGAAUCUACUUUUUCGUGGGGGAUAACGUAGGGAAACUUACGCUAAUACCGCAUCCGACCUAUGGGUGAAAGCAGGGGAUCUUCGGACCUUGCGCGAUUGAAUGAGCCGAUGUCGGAUUAGCUAGUUGGCGGGGUAAAGGCCCACCAAGGCGACGAUCCGUAGCUGGUCUGAGAGGAUGAUCAGCCACACUGGAACUGAGACACGGUCCAGACUCCUACGGGAGGCAGCAGUGGGGAAUAUUGGACAAUGGGCGCAAGCCUGAUCCAGCCAUACCGCGUGGGUGAAGAAGGCCUUCGGGUUGUAAAGCCCUUUUGUUGGGAAAGAAAAGCAGCAGGUUAAUACCCCGCUGUUCUGACGGUACCCAAAGAAUAAGCACCGGCUAACUUCGUG
rnacentral:rRNA from 1 species